rnacentral:rRNA from 1 species
CACGUAGGGGGCGAGCGUUGUCCGGAUUUAUUGGGCGUAAAGAGCUCGUAGACGGCUCAGUAAGUCGGGUGUGAAAACUCCAGGCUCAACCUGGAGACGCCACCUGAUACUGCUGUGGCUAGAGUCCGGUAGGGGAGCAUGGAAUUCCUGGUGUAGCGGUGAAAUGCGCAGAUAUCAGGAGGAACACCAGUGGCGAAGGCGGUGCUCUGGGCCGGAACUGACGCUGAGGAGCGAAAGCGUGGGGAGCAAACAGG